rnacentral:misc_RNA from 1 species
AAGGAUCAUUAAUGAAUGAAUGUAGAGUCGGUUGUAGCUGACCUCCUAGAGGUAUGUGCACGCCUUCUCUUUCAUCCACACACCCCUGUGCACUCGUGAGACAGAGGCAUUUGUUUUCCUUUAAUCGGGGAACGGGUCUCUGUCUACAUCACAUAAAAUCUAAUUUAUUUAAAACUGAAUGUAAUUGAUGUAACGCAUCUAAUACAAAGUUUCAACAACGGAUCUCUUGGCUCUCGCAUCGAUGAAGAACGCAGCGUAGCCGUGCACCGAUGUGGAAGUAAAAGUCGUAACAAG